UACUAUAUAGUUUAAACUAAUAAAACAUUAAUCUUGUAAAUUAAAAUUAAAUCAAAAUACACGAUUUUAUAGUAA